AAGAAGAUAAUAUAAAGGUAGUAGAAAUAAACAAAACCCAUAAAGCUUGGCGGUUACUAUUACACAGAGAAACUUGUUUUAUAAUCGACAACACUCGAUCAAUUUAACUUAAAUAAAAUUAGCAUAUAUACCGCCGUUACAGAAAUAAAAAAUAAAAUUUCACAAAAACUACUUUUAAAAAAUCAGGUCAAGGUAUAGCCAAUAAUUAAGUAAAAAUUAGUUACACAUUAAGAACAAUUAAAGGAAAUAAGGUGAAAACCAACUAAUAAAUAGAAUCUGUACACAACACUAAAUUAAAAAUAUAAUAUGAAACAUAUAAUAGUAACGC
rnacentral:rRNA from 1 species